UACAGAGGUCUCAAGCGUUGUUCGGAUUCAUUGGGCGUAAAGGGUGCGUAGGCGGCGCGGUAAGUCGGGUGUGAAAUCUCGGGGCUUAACUCCGAAACUGCAUUCGAUACUGGCGUGCUUGAGGACUGGAGAGGAGACUGGAAUUUACGGUGUAGCGGUGAAAUGCGUAGAUAUCGUAAGGAAGACCAGUGGCGAAGGCGGGUCUCUGGACAGUUCCUGACGCUGAGGCACGAAGGUCAGGGGAGCAAACGGG
rnacentral:rRNA from 1 species